rnacentral:rRNA from 1 species
GCUCAGGAUGAACCUUGGCGGCGUGCCUAAUACAUGCAAGUCGAACGCACAGCGAAAGGUGCUUGCACCUUUCAAGUGAGUGGCGAACGGGUGAGUAACACGUGGAUAACCUACCUCAAGGUUGGGGAUAACAUUUGGAAACAGAUGCUAAUACCGAAUAAAACUUCGUAUCGCAUGAUACAAGGUUAAAAGGCGCUACGGCGUCACCUAGAGAUGGAUCCGCGGUGCAUUAGUUAGUUGGUGGGGUAAAGGCCUACCAAGACAAUGAUGCAUAGCCGAGUUGAGAGACUGAUCGGCCACAUUGGGACUGAGACACGGCCCAAACUCCUACGGGAGGCUGCAGUAGGGAAUCUUCCACAAUGGGCGAAAGCCUGAUGGAGCAACGCCGCGUGUGUGAUGAAGGCUUUCGGGUCGUAAAGCACUGUUGUAUGGGAAGAACAGCUAGAGUAGGGAAUGACUUUAGUUUGACGGUACCAUACCAGAAAGGGACGGCUAAAUACGUGCCAGCAGCCGCGGUAAUACGUAUGUCCCGAGCGUUAUCCGGAUUUAUUGGGCGUAAAGCGAGCGCAGACGGUUGAUUAAGUCUGAUGUGAAAGCCCGGAGCUCAACUCCGGAAAGGCAUUGGAAACUGGUCAACUUGAGUGCAGUAGAGGUAAGUGGAACUCCAUGUGUAGCGGUGGAAUGCGUAGAUAUAUGGAAGAACACCAGCGGCGAAGGCGGCUUACUGGACUGUAACUGACGUUGAGGCUCGAAAGUGUGGGUAGCAAACAGGAUUAGAUACCCUGGUAGUCCACACCGUAAACGAUGAACACUAGGUGUUAGGAGGUUUCCACCUCUUAGUGCCGAAGCUAACGCAUUAAGUGUUCCGCCUGGGGAGUACGACCGCAAGGUUGAAACUCAAAGGAAUUGACGGGGACCCGCACAAGCGGUGGAGCAUGUGGUUUAAUUCGAAGCAACGCGAAGAACCUUACCAGGUCUUGACAUCCUUUGAAGCUUUUAGAGAUAGAAGUGUUCUCUUCGGAGACAAAGUGACAGGUGGUGCAUGGUCGUCGUCAGCUCGUGUCGUGAGAUGUUGGGUUAAGUCCCGCAACGAGCGCAACCCUUAUUGUUAGUUGCCAGCAUUCAGAUGGGCACUCUAGCGAGACUGCCGGUGACAAACCGGAGGAAGGCGGGGACGACGUCAGAUCAUCAUGCCCCUUAUGACCUGGGCUACACACGUGCUACAAUGGCGUA